GCUAAGGUAGCAUAGUCAUUUGUUAUUUAAUUGGUAACUGGAAUGAAAGGUUAAACUAGCUUAUUAAGUUUGUAAGAUUAUAUAGUAGUUUAAAGUUAAGGUAAGAAUUCUUUAAUAUUCUAGGGGACGAUAAGACCCUAGAAGCUUAACGAGCAGAAAUUUUGUUUUAGAAGAUUGUUUGUUUUACUGGGGCGGUAAAAAUAAUUAAACUAUUUAAUAGUUACAAGAUCCUUAAAAUAAAGAUAGAAUGGGGAAGUUACUCUAGGGAUAA
rnacentral:rRNA from 1 species